UGGUGGAGUGAUUUGUCUGCUUAAUUGCGUUAACGAACGAGACCUCGACCUGCUAAAUAGUUGGCGGAACACUCCGGUGUUCGCGUAUAACUUCUUAGAGGGACUAUCGGUUCUUAGCCGAUGGAAGUUCGAGGCAAUAACA
rnacentral:rRNA from 1 species